rnacentral:rRNA from 1 species
GAUCCUGGCUCAGGACGAACGCUGGCGGCGUGCUUAACACAUGCAAGUCGAACGAGAAUCUACUGAAAGAGUUUUCGGACAAUGGAUGUAGAGGAAAGUGGCGGACGGGUGAGUAACGCGUGAGGAACCUGCCUUGAAGAGGGGGACAACAGUUGGAAACGACUGCUAAUACCGCAUGACGCAUAGAGGUCGCAUGAUCUUUAUGCCAAAGAUUUAUCGCUUCAAGAUGGCCUCGCGU